rnacentral:tRNA from 5 species
AUCUUUCUAGUAUCUAAUGUUAGUACAAAUGACUUCCAAUCAUUUAGUCUUGGUUAAAACCCAAGGAAAGAUA